rnacentral:rRNA from 2 species
AAAUGAAUCAAAACUUUCAAAAACUUUCAACAACGGAUCUCUUGGUUCUGGCAUCGAUGAAGAACGCAGCGAAAUGCGAUAAGUAAUGUGAAUUGCAGAAUUCAGUGAAUCAUCGAAUCUUUGAACGCACAUUGCGCCCGCCAGUAUUCUGGCGGGCAUGCCUGUCCG